UACGAAGGGGGCUAGCGUUGUUCGGAAUCACUGGGCGUAAAGCGCACGUAGGCGGGUCGUUAAGUCGGGGGUGAAAUGCCAAGGCUCAACCUUGGAACUGCCUUCGAUACUGGCGAUCUCGAGUCCGGGAGAGGUGAGUGGAACUCCGAGUGUAGAGGUGAAAUUCGUAGAUAUUCGGAAGAACACCAGUGGCGAAGGCGGCUCACUGGCCCGGUACUGACGCUGAGGUGCGAAAGCGUGGGGAGCGAACAGG
rnacentral:rRNA from 1 species